CACGUAGGAGGCGAGCGUUGUCCGGAAUCAUUGGGCGUAAAGAGCGCGCAGGCGGCUUGGCAAGUCGGGUGUGAAAUCCCGGGGCUCAACCCCGUGACUGCAUUCGAUACUGUCAGGCUAGAGGUAGGUAGGGGAGAUCGGAAUUCCUGGUGUAGCGGUGAAAUGCGUAGAUAUCAGGAGGAACACCAAUGGCGAAGGCAGCUCGCUGGGACGUGACUGACGCUGAGACGCGAAAGCGUGGGGAGCAAACAGG
rnacentral:rRNA from 1 species